rnacentral:rRNA from 1 species
ACCUACGGGACGCAGCAGUGGGGAAUAUUGCACAAUAGGGGAAACCCUGAUGCAGCGACGCCGCGUGAGCGAUGAAGUAUUUCGGUAUGUAAAGCUCUAUCAGCAGGGAAGAGAAUGACGGUACCUGACUAAGAAGCCCCGGCUAACUACGAGCCAGCAGCCGCGGUAAUACGUAGAGGGCAAGCGUUAUCCGGAUUUACUGGGUGUAAAGGGAGCGUAGACGGUCCUGCAAGCCAGAUGUGAAAGCCCGGGGCUCAACCCAGGGACAGCAUUUG